CACGUAGGGUGCGAGCGUUGUCCGGAAUUAUUGGGCGUAAAGAGCUCGUAGGCGGUUCGUCGCGUCGGCUGUGAAAACCCGGAGCUCAACUCCGGGCCUGCAGUCGAUACGGGCGGACUUGAGUGUUGGCAGGGGAGACUGGAAUUCCUGGUGUAGCGGUGAAAUGCGCAGAUAUCAGGAGGAACGCCGGUGGCGAAGGCGGGUCUCUGGGCAACUGACUGACGCUGAGGAGCGAAAGCGUGGGGAGCGAACAGG
rnacentral:rRNA from 1 species